rnacentral:rRNA from 1 species
AUUGCCCUAGUAACGGCGAGUGAAGCGGCAACAGCUCAAAUUUGAAAUCUGGCUCUCGGGCCCGAGUUGUAAUUUGUAGAGGAUGCUUUUGGCAAGGUGCCUUCCGAGUUCCCUGGAACGGGACGCCAUAGAGGGUGAGAGCCCCGUCUGGUUGGACACCGAGCCUCUGUAAAGCUCCUUCGACGAGUCGAGUAGUUUGGGAAUGCUGCUCUAAAUGGGAGGUAUAUGUCUUCUAAAGCUAAAUACUGGCCAGAGACCGAUAGCGCACAAGUAGAGUGAUCGAAAGAUGAAAAGCACUUUGAAAAGAGAGUUAAAAAGCACGUGAAAUUGUUGAAAGGGAAGCGCUUAUGACCAGACUUGGGCUUGGUUGAUCAUCCGGCGUUCUCGCCGGUGCACUCUUCCAGUUCAGGCCAGCAUCAGUUUGCCCCGGGGGAUAAAAGCUUCGGGAAUGUGGCUCCUCCGGGAGUGUUAUAGCCCGUUGCAUAAUACCCUGGGGCAGACUGAGGACCGCGCUUCGUGCAAGGAUGCUGGCGUAAUGGUCAUCAGCGACCCG